rnacentral:rRNA from 1 species
UACGGGGGGGGGCAAGCGUUGUUCGGAAUUACUGGGCGUAAAGGGCUCGUAGGCGGCCAACUAAGUCGGACGUGAAAUCCCCAGGCUCAACCUGGGAACUGCGUCCGAUACUGGAUGGCUUGAAUCCGGGAGAGGGAUGCAGGAUUCCAGGUGUAGCGGUGAAAUGCGUAGAUAUCUGGAGGAACACCGGUGGCGAAGGCGGCAUCCUGGACCAACACUGACACUGAGGAGCGAAAGCCAGGGGAGCAAACGGG